GACGAACGCUGGCGGCGUGCUUAACACAUGCAAGUCGAACGGAAAGGCCCUGCUUUUGUGGGGUGCUCGAGUGGCGAACGGGUGAGUAACACGUGAGUAACCUGCCCUUGACUUUGGGAUAACUUCAGGAAACUGGGGCUAAUACCGGAUAGGAGCUCCUGCUGCAUGGUGGGGGUUGGAAAGUUUCGGCGGUUGGGGAUGGACUCGCGGCUUAUCAGCUUGUUGGUGGGGUAGUGGCUUACCAAGGCUUUGACGGGUAGCCGGCCUGAGAGGGUGACCGGCCACAUUGGGACUGAGAUACGGCCCAGACUCGUACGGGAGGCAGCAGUGGAGAAUAUUGCACAAUGGGCGGAAGCCUGAUGCAGCAACGCCGCGUGCGGGAUGACGGCCUUCGGGUUGUAAACCGCUUUCGCCUGUGACGAAGCGUGAGUGACGGUAAUGUGUAAAGAAGCACCGGCUAACUACGUG
rnacentral:rRNA from 1 species